rnacentral:lncRNA from 1 species
CCCGGCGGGCGGAGCCCGGCGCCGCGGCCAGGAUUUCCCACCUCGCUCCCGCGACUCCGCUGCGGGGGUACUUAACCGAAACUAGCAAUCCCAGGCGGUACAAGGCCCUCCAUCGUAGGCAAAGCACUACCUGAAUGUAGAUUUGGGCCAUACGUUGGAAAAUAAGACAUGAGAGUAUGCUCCGAUCAACUUUUACUGUUCACUGGACAACUAUUUUGGGAAUUUGCAGACCUAUAAAGCCCAUCUAUAAAUCUCAAGCAUGUCCACUUUCAGAGAAGAGAAAUGCUGACAACCAUUUAGUCUCUGAGGACAACACUUUUAAAGUUAUACAGGACUCCAUCAUAGGACUGGAGAGAGAUUGGAUGUCAGAGUGAUUGAUGUGCUCCUACUGGAAGAAGGCAAACAUCCAUAUGUGAACUGCCUGUGGGGUUUCCAAGGAAAGGAACGGCAGGCAGCCUCUAUGAGCUUAAAGAAGAUAACUGGGACUUUAGUCCUAUAACCUCAAGGAACAGUAUUCUGUGAACCAUCUGAGAAGCUUGGAAGAGGACCCCAAACUCCAAAUAAGAAGCUCAGUGUGUCUGACACCUUGACUGCAGGCUUGGGAGGUCCUGAGCAGAAGAUCCAGUUCAACAGUGCCUGGACUCCUGAUCCACAAAAACUGAUAACAAAUAUUUAUUGUUUUAAGAUGCUAAGUUUGUAGUCAUUUUUUAUACAGCAACAGAAAACUAAACACACACAUAAACAGUUAUAAGUGCUCACUGUAUAUGAGGCUUUUCAUUAAUAAUCUAUAUUUUAUAAUAGAAUUAGAAUAUAGAUCUGUGAAGCUGAAGACACUCAAUCCUUGCUAGAUUUAAAUCAGGAAAAUCAGCUGAGAAUCAUUCCUUGAUAGAACCUGGAAAACAAGACCCUAUGAGAGACCCUGGGAAUUACAUUAAAUUCACUGUGGUUCCCAGUGUCACUGAAGAGGUUUUCCUUUCAUAGUCAGGUAGUCACCAUACUGUUAAGCAUUUGAACACAUGGGCAACUUCCAGAAUAGUUAUGACAUUGAUAUACCAAUCUCCAAAAUUCCUAGAAUACCAUGUUUUCAUGGUUGACCUUCAAAUCAGUCAGUUCUUUGUAACAUUGAGCCAUAAAGAUAGGGCAAAUACUUAAUGUUUUACAUAUAUUCAGAGAUUGACCCUCAAAAUACAGCCCAGAGAAACUCAAAAGAAUUAACUCUAUUUCUUCAAAUUGUGUGACGCCACCAAGGCCAGAUGACUUCAGCAUUGGGAAGGCAAUAUCCAGCUGUCAUCUUCUUGAUCCUCAUAUGCUACUACUAGCAUCUAGCAUUUACUGAGCAGAUAGUUUUAUUGUCCAGUUUUUAAAGAUAAGAAAAUUGAGGUAUUAGGAAAGUUAAGUUGGUUGCCUAGGGAAACACGAAGAUAUAGCCCAGAUUCACUCCCAGGCAGGCAGAUGCCAGUGUCUGCUCUCUUUACCACCGAAAUAUCCUGCUACAUGUACAAUUUCAAUAAAUAUCUGGACUUACUGGAACAAAACAAAUCAACAACAUUCUUAUUUUCUUUCUUCAGUUUAGAUUAAAUAAUUUAAAUGUCUUCUUAAGAAGCUACAGUUUUUUGAGGCACAGAGGGAUAGGAGGGUAGGUCCUACCAGUUGAGUCACUCAGCCCUAUAGUUGUGAAAAUCCUUAAUUUUAAGAAGCAGCAGUAAAGUCUCUACUUCUCAAGCUUGCCAUUAGAUGGUUUUAAAUAAUUGACAGGCUCUGCUCAAGUUCUUCUGAUUUCUCCAUAUCCUGGAAAUGGUUAAAGGCAUAAGCAGGAAGCCAUUCCCUUUUGAUGAGCUGCUAUGACAUCAUGCAGUAAGUUUACUGAAGAGAGAUUCCUGAUGAAAGAUGCAAGAGAAACUAGAUACAUUAAGCAGUCGUUUCUUUAUAUGAAUCAAUGGGACACCUUUGCUUUCCUUUACUCUAAGUGACCUAUAUGCAGAAAAUGAACUCACUUUUCCUAUGUUUAGAUCAAGUUUUCAAGUUACUUCCUGGCAAACAACCCUAACAAGAUCAUGUAUGAUAGUUAAUUGGCCAUAAUCUCUGCCUUUUCUUUUUUUCUGGCUAAAUAACCAGGUGGACCACACAUUUGGGUCAGGGGAGUCACAUUAGGACUCUUUUAGUAGAGAGAAUGCCAGAUGUAGAUAUCACGCUUAUUGUCUCAACAACAUGACACUUAAUAGCACUUCUACGCCACUUUAAUCAACUAGAGUCAAUUCCAC